GAUUCACCAUGCUUUAUUAGAAAAUCCCCAAAGUUACUCCAAGAAAGCUUCCAUAUAGUUAAACAUGAAAUUCAAAUAUCUGAGGAGGUUAAGCAUAACCACAAAUCAUAAUCUGAUAAGUCCAAAGCUAAUUAAUUUUCCAUAUUUGAUUUCAAUAUGCUUACAAUAUGAUGGGAAACAACUUUUUUUUUUUUUUUUUGCAUGUGUUUGCUACUUGCAGUUGCACCAGCAUCAUUUCAGUCAAUGAACUUUUUCUGAAAAAUACCAUCAGUAACCAUACAUUUACUAUCUGCAGCUGAAUAUGUGUUGUGUUGCACUUCUCUUUCUCUAAUUUAAUAGGAAAUUCAGAGGAUGAAUUCUGACCCACAAUCUAACUUAGUAGAGUAAAUAAUGAUACUUGUUACUACAAAAGAGGGGCUGUCUUCAUGCAUUGGUUACAAGAUCACUCCUUGAAGCAGUUAUGACUGAUAGUGUGAAUAGAGACAAUCAGUUUCAGCAGGGACAGGAAUUACAAAGUUCUGCUGAUACACUGGUAUUCCUUUAUUACUAAAGCGUACUAACCUUUAGUGAACUUUAUAACAUGAAAUGUCUUGAAUAAAGUCUUAUAUAAAAUGUGACUAUUUUUCCACGUCUAAAGUUUACUUCAAAAAUGUGAGUACAUGUUCUUCUUCCUAAACCCUUUUAUUCUUUCAUCAAAUGUACUUGCUUUAAAUUCAUUGCUUUUUCCACUUUAUAAACUAGAUGGGUUUGAAUACUUACGGGAGGAAUCUAAAGCAUUUGGUUGUUAUUAGUGUGGAGAUAGCUGACUCACAUAUGCAAAAAAUUAAAGAAACUCAGAAAUGUUCAAGUGAUAUUUGUUUUGUUUUGAGGCUAUACAGCACCAAACCACAUCCUGUUGUACAAUGGGUCUUUUCCCUUUUUAUUUUUAUUGUGCAGUAUCUUUUCAGGUUAAUAAAACAAAUAAGGACAUUACUUUUAUUCUCUAUCUCCACUUUUUUUUUUCUUUUUUAGAUAUAAGAUACUACGCAUUGUUGCUCAGUGAUUUUUGUUUCUCUUUUUAAAAUCCCUACCCUUUCCUUCUGCUCAGGAG
rnacentral:lncRNA from 1 species